GCCUGGGUGGCUCAGUCAGUUGAGCGUAUGACUUCAGCUCAGGUCAUGAUCUCACAGUUCGUGGGUUCAAGCCCCAUGUUGGGCU
rnacentral:tRNA from 1 species